UUAAUACAUUUGUGGGUGUAACAAGUGUUACCAAAUGUACUAUAGGGUCCAUUUAUCAAUCAUUUAUUUGGCCUCAAGGACCUCUGGGGGUCCCCGGACCUCAUGCUGAGAAGAACCAGUGUUUUUUAGGUGACUUACUCGCAAAAGCAUCGUGUGUUUUUGCCACGACAGGGGCUCUGAAUAAAUCUGGCAAUUUUAGGUAUUUGGCCGCGUCAUGCCUUUCUUUUUUUCUUCCUCUCUCUUUCUGCACCACCUUUUCUCCUUUUUUUUUUUUACCCGGAUUUGGGUUGGGGUCCAUUGAAAUUAACUUGACAACUUUCCCUCACAUCUCAGCAUCAGCUGGUUCCCACACAGACACACGCGACGUGAGUCGACAAACCCCCUCCUCACCAUGCUUGCUGUGUUUACAACGUAGGACUGUUGGGGCGGGUGUAAAUCGAAAUAAACCAAUCACGUCUUGUCUUUUGACAACUGACAAGUGGCUCAACCUCCCACACCUCAUCCCUCUCCUUGCAUCACUGUGCCACUGACAGCUGUUGGGAAAAACAUGACAGACAGGCCAGCAUCUUGCUAUCUUUGUGUCAUUAAUUGUCAUUACUGAGUACUAUGCUGUGUUUUGUUGCUGUCUUCAGUUGAAACCAUUGUUUGCUGUGUUUGAGUAUUUUGUUUAUCUACAUGUAUGUUCAGCAUUUUAUUUGCAUGUUUCUGUUUAGUUGCUGUCUUUAGUUAUUGUUAUUGUUUUGAGUGCAGCAAUUUCUUGUGUGAGGGCUGGCACCUAGGUUAGAAGCACCACCCCUUGUAGGUAGGGUUAGAGAGAGCCCUCCCUCUUUAUAAGGACAGGUGAGAGCAAUCAGUGCCUUUUUGUCUGAGGCCUGGUAGCUGUGUGGUGGGACUGCUGUGUCUGUGCAGAAUUGUGGUGUAGCUGUUUUCCCUCUCGACUCAGUUUGACGAAGGCCCUGUAGGCCCAUGCUGAAGAGGACAUGAAUCAGCCUUCACCUUUCUCCUGAUUGAGUCACAGUAUAGAACCAGUCAGCUCCACCGGUGCCAGUCUCUUACAGGGUCAAAGCUGGAGAAGGCAGUGGGAGGAUCUGUGGCGUGGUGUACACACCCUUCCUUGCAUGCAGUGUGGUAGGCCAGAAGUGUGGUCCGUUACUGCCCCUUUAAUCCCCCUUUUUACAAUAAAUACUGAGUUUUUGACUUGAAUGCAUGUCUCUGGCUCUUGUACCUGUGAAAGAAUUUGUUUGUGGGUUUAUGUAGAGACCUUACUGUACACUGGGGUUGGUCACACUUGGUUUGAAUAUAUUUGCAUGCAUGCUUGAGUUAAUUGGACACAGCUGAACACAAUGGAGGCAGUGAUUGCAGACAUGGACUGACAGCUGCAUCAGCCAAUCAACUGCUGCAGGCUGGCCACACCCACCCUCCACCUAUAUAGACAGAGCAGCAGGUUGGACUCAUUGUUGCUGACAGGACCCACACACCUUGCAAGCAGAGGAGGCUUUGGCGAGGGGUGAGAGCAGGCCAGAUGACUCAAACCAGCAGUGUACUGGAGGUCUUUGAACACAACUGGCAGGAGCUUCUGCCCAAAGCUGUGAGUUCCUUUAUAACCAGUUCACUGUCUAUUGGUGAAGCUGCUUCCAAUUGACAUAACCCUGUCUAUGAAGUGCAGACUGCUAGGUAUUUUUCUUGGUUCCAGGAGCAGAGAAGAGGGGCCCUUGGUGGUGUGGGCAUGACCGAUGUUGAUUGCAUAGAGGGCGCUAAAGCAAGGACUUGGAGCACGACAGUGAGCCCUCUUGAACUGAUUUAUUUUAAGACUGUUAUCUUGCCCUUUUAAGACCUUUCCCCAUUUUAAAGAGACAUUUUCUACCAUCAG